rnacentral:rRNA from 1 species
AGUGAACGCUGGCGGUAGGCCUAACACAUGCAAGUCGAACGGUAGCACAGAGGAGCUUGCUCCUUGGGUGACGAGUGGCGGACGGGUGAGGAAUACAUCGGAAUCUACUUUUUCGUGGGGGAUAACGUAGGGAAACUUACGCUAAUACCGCAUACGACCUACGGGUGAAAGCCGGGGACCUUUUAGGCCUGGCGCGGAUAAAUGAGCCGAUGUCCGAUUAGCUAGUUGGCGGGGUAAAGGCCCACCAAGGCGACGAUCGGUAGCUGGUCUGAGAGGAUGAUCAGCCACACUGGAACUGAGACACGGUCCAG